ACGAACGCUGGCGGCGUGCUUAACACAUGCAAGUCGAACGGAAAGGCCCUGCUUUUGUGGGGUGCUCGAGUGGCGAACGGGUGAGUAACACGUGAGUAACCUGCCCUUGACUUUGGGAUAACUUCAGGAAACUGGGGCUAAUACCGGAUAUGAGCUCCUGCUGCAUGGUGGGGGUUGGAAAGUUUCGGCGGUUGGGGAUGGACUCGCGGCUUAUCAGCUUGUUGGUGGGGUAGUGGCUUACCAAGGCUUUGCCUGGUAGCCGGCCUGGGAGGGUGACCGGCGACAUUGGGACUGAGAUACGGCCCAGACUCCUACGGGAGGCAGCAGGGGGGAAUAUUGCACAAUGGGCGGAAGCCUGAUGCAGCAACGCCGCGUGCGGGAUGACGGCCUUCGGGUUGUAAACCGCUUUCGCCUGUGACGAAGCGUGAGUGACGGUAAUGGGUAAAGAAGCACCGGCUAACUACGUG
rnacentral:rRNA from 1 species